rnacentral:lncRNA from 1 species
CCGCGCGUGGCGAGUCUGUGUCCUCCCUGUCCCCCAGAGCAGACACCCUCUCUGUGUCUGGACCGGGGAGGAGCAGACGCUGGACAGGUUUCUGGUAGAAUGCUGGCAAUUUCCAGGAAGAUACGUGGAGAACGGAAAGGUUGCUACACCCAAAUAGUGAAGCAAAGGCUAUGAUUAUGGAGGAUUGGACCUGCAAACUCCAGAACAGAGCAACCUUGUAAAAUGUGUGUGGGCAGCACAGAGAACUUGGGCAAGUUAACAGUUUCCUCAUCUGUGAAUACUGAUUUAUGGAAAGCACCUGGUGCGUGUUCUGCCCUCUGAGGACCCUGCCCUUUCCCAAAAGGGGUAUCUUAAGAAGGAAAAUAUGGCUGCUCUUUGCCGGACAGCAGAGUCCCAGAACCCCAUGCAGGUGUUUCAGGGCUUUAUGUCAUUCAAGGAUGUGGCUGUGAACUUCACUAGGAAGAAUGGAGAGAACUGGACCUUGCUCAGAGAGUCUUGUACAGGGAUGUAAUGCUGGAGAACUAUAGGAACCUGGUCUCCUUGGUAGGAUUUCCAUUUUCCAAACCUGGUAUCAUCUCCUAGUUGGAAGAAGUGGUAAGCCCACGAACACAAAUGCAGGAGGGAGAGGUGCCAAGAAGCAGCGGUACACGCUGAACUCCAGUGCACCCAGUUAGACUUGGAGCGGAAACUCAAGUUGAAUGAAAAUGCCAUCUCCAGGCUCCAGGCUAACCAAAAGUCUGUUCUGGUGUCGGUGUCAGAGGUCAAAGCGGUGGCUGAAAUGCAGUUUGGGGAA